rnacentral:rRNA from 1 species
AUACGUAGGGUGCAAGCGUUAAUCGGAAUUACUGGGCGUAAAGCGUGCGCAGGCGGUUUUGUAAGACAGUGGUGAAAUCCCCGGGCUCAACCUGGGAACUGCCAUUGUGACUGCAAGGCUGGAGUGCGGCAGAGGGGGAUGGAAUUCCGCGUGUAGCCGGGGAAUGCGUAGAUAUGCGGAGGAACACCGAUGGCGAAGGCAAUCCCCUGGGCCUGCACUGACGCUCAUGCACGAAAGCGUGGGGAGCAAACAGGAUUAGAUACCCUGGUAGUCCACGCCCUAAACGAUGUCAACUGGUUGUUGGGGAUUUAUUUUCUCAGUAACGAAGCUAACGCGUGAAGUUGACCGCCUGGGGAGUACGGCCGCAAGGUUAAAACUCAAAGGAAUUGACGGGG